GGUCUGCGUUUCAGCCAGCCUCAGGCUGUGAGCUCGGCUGUGUAGGGCCCAGACGUGGCGACAAUGUCAGGACUGCCUGAUAAAAAACCAGCCAGCAACACACAGGAGUGCAUAUGAGGGUCGUGUACACGUGUACCUGGGUAGAUAAUCCCGCAUCUUCUUCUUCCUCCCGAUCCUCUGCACCCUCUCUGGCUUUCUGUUGGAGCUCCAGGGCCAGGCCAAGAACCUGGCACACAAUAAGUGUUUUUAAAAUACUUGCUGACAAAAUUUAUAAAUAUAUGCCUUAGAUGGAAUAUUGUACAUUAGAAGAGUUUUCAUUAAUGCUUAAUAAUGUUAGGCGAUGCUCAGAACACACAAAGUUUUAAAAAUAGGUUUAAAAUGACUGUAUGUGUGCAGUAUGAAGCUAAUUUUUUGAAGGAAACGAAAGAUUAGUGCACACAGGAAAACUGGAAGAAAAUGCGCCAAAAUUCCACAGAUAAUUCUGUGAGUACAUGAAAUUUCAGGUAAUAUUCUAAUUUUAUUCUUCACAAUUUUGUAUAGUUUUCAAACAAUAAGCAUGGGUUAUUUUUAUAGUCAUAUAAAAGCACUCGUGUGUGUAUGUGUGUGCACGUGUGCACUUAUCUCCAUGUAAAACAUGUCUUUAUUGACGGAGUUUAGACGCCCCUAAGGACAUUCUUCUGCAGAUGCCGUCACCCUGUUGUCUUUCUGCUGCGGGAAGCCGCCGUGUUCCUCGUGAGAGGUCGAGUCCUGACCCGCAUUGACUCAUUUCAUGGCUCAUCGCCAGGCACCUGGUUUGUAAAGGUCAUCUCCUGCUCCUCCAGGUGGAUCCUCUUAAGUGAUGCUGUUACGCAGAGUCAUCGUGUGUGAGCCCUGGGGUGGCAGAUGCCGGGCACAGUGCUCCACACCAUGAAGUCGGGCUCUUGCCUUCUAGAGUUCACGGCGCAGGAAAAGCACACGUUGGCAGACGCUGCACCUAAAAGUCGAGGCUCAGUUUAGGCAGCAAUGCUGACCUUCCACGGCCUCUUUACCUGGUGACUUUAUGUCCCUUACCUUAUUCUUCUUCAAGAUCUCCCCUGAGGUCACCUGUGCCACAUGCCACCAUGACCCUUUCUCGUCACAAACACUUUUAUAUUCAUUUUCGUGCGCGUCUUCGUGGCAAUGCCUGUGGGUCCCUGGCUCUUAGCUGGCUCUGUUCCCCUUGGUCACGAAUCUCGCCAGGCUCACUUCUGAGAGGGGUGAGAGAGUGCCUCUUGUCUUAUCGUUCCUUUUAUUUUUAUUUUUUAUUUCUUAGCUUUGAAGGGGAAUUUACUGGACUUCCAAAUGCCUCUGCCGAUUUUUCUGGCUUCUGGAAAUGAACUUAAUGAUGACACUAGAGUCAACAGAGAGGUGCUCCCCGUCCGUGUGCAGCCCGUCCUGCAGUGGGGAGCCCUGUGGACCCCGUCAGCCACGGCCCUCUUCUCUGGUGUGAGCUGAGAGCCCAAGGGCUGAGUCACCCCCCAGCACAACCAGGAGUCGGUGCAGACUCAGGCCUUUCCAGUGCGCCCAUUUCACUGGGUUCCGUUUCUGUGGGGAGAUGGCAGCCCAUCCCCCACAGGGAGUCGCUGCACUCCCAAGUGUCCAGCACAGGCCUGGCUCAUCUCCUCAUCCCCCAGGCCCUCCAGGACAGCUGUGGAACCAGGGCUGAUGGCAGGCGUGGCUAUAGUGGGGAUGGCCACGCUGCCUGAGCCAGGACAGCUUGUUGUGCUGGACGAGCUGUGGAGCACAGAACGGGCACAUCCCGUGGAGGACCUGGUCAGACUGGAUGGGCCCUGGACAUGGAGGUGGAGCUCACCACUGUGGGCAGUGUGUUUAGGACAACGUGUGCCCAAGUUGCACGAGAGGGAGCAGGUUAUUCCCAUUCUUUGUCCUGUUCCUUUCUGGAUGUUGAUGAAAAUCACUUCUCAGCAAGUGGAGCCUCCUGACUCAGCACCCCGUGCCCAGCCCCAGCUGUGCAGCUUCCUGGCCCACAUUCUCCCAGUGCUCUGAAUCCUGUCUCCCGCUUCCUCUCCUUACAACCCCAGCAUCUGGAGAAGGUGAAACCAUUUUCUAAAGUAUUGGAAGAAGCAGAUGUCAGAAGUCCUUCCAGCCUCCUGGACACACAGGGGAUUGGUUGCUGGCUGGAGGCCGCCGGGACGGUGAGCAGGGAGGUGCUGACUUGGGUGGUCUACUCUCCGGCCUCUUAGGCCAUGACGACAGAGAGCCUCAAGCAGAGAAGUGUGACUCCUGUAGGCAGCAGCGCGGCUGGACCUGCCGCCCACCCUGCGCCCACUCACUGACUGCGUUGGGGGUCUGGGGAUGAGCUGUGUGCGGGGGGCCUUGGCAGGGUGCUCGGGAAGGUCAGGAGCUGGGGUGGGCAGGAGGGUUGAGGAGCAGAGCAGACCGAAGUGGGCUUGGUAAUACAGCCUGAGGGGCGUGCUACAUUUGGGGGCCCUGGCAGCGGCUGCCCCUGCAGCUGGCAAUGGAGAUGGCUGCAGCCCCAAGGACGGAGCCAGACGCAGCUUCAUAGCUGGAGCGGGUCUCACUCAGGGCCAGGAGCUCUGAGUUUCCUAAUUAAGCAGCCCUUAAGAACACCUAGUUAAAUGGCAGAUUCCAAUGGGAGGCUGGAGAUGCCUGCCAGGGGCCAGCCAGCUUCCCACCUCCCUUGGACACAGCCACGGGUUUUCAUAGGGUGACAGGGAGGGGUCUGGGGGACAGGAUGUCACACAGCACAGUGUAGGCUCCACGCCCCUCCUGGCUGCACUGGUUUAGAUCCGCAUGU